rnacentral:rRNA from 1 species
AUUGAACGCUGGCGGCAGGCCUAACACAUGCAAGUCGAACGAGAGGCGCGCAGGUGAGUGUUGUCUGUGAGACUGCCUGAUGGAGGGGGGUAACUCCUGGAGACGGUAUCUCAUAUCGCAUACGCUCACAUAUGCCCACAUGGGAUUAGCUAGUGGGGGGGGUAACGGCUCACCUAGGCGACGAUCCCUAGCUGGUCUGAGAGGAUGACCAGCCACACUGGAACUGAGACACGGUCCAGACUCCUACGGGAGGCAGCAGUGGGGAAUAUUGCACAAUGGGCGCAAGCCUGAUGCAGCCAUGCCGCGUGUGUGAAGAAGGCCUUCGGGUUGUAAAGCACUUUCAGCGGGGAGGCGUUACCCGCAGAAGAAGCACCGGCUAACUCCGUGCCAGCAGCCGCGGUAAUAC